rnacentral:rRNA from 1 species
CUUUCAACAACGGAUCUCUUGGUUUUGGCAUCGAUGAAGAACGCAGCGAAAUGCGAUAAGUAAUGUGAAUUGCAGAAUUCAGUGAAUCAUCGAAUCUUUGAACGCACAUUGCGCCCUCUGGUAUUCCGGGGGGCAUGCCUGUUCGAGCGUCGCAAA